AUUGAACGCUGGCGGCAGGCUUAACACAUGCAAGUCGAGCGGUAGCACAGGGGAGCUUGCUCCCUGGGUGACGAGCGGCGGACGGGUGAGUAAUGUCUGGGAAACUGCCUGAUGGAGGGGGAUAACUACUGGAAACGGUAGCUAAUACCGCAUAACGUCGCAAGACCAAAGAGGGGGACCUUCGGGCCUCUUGCCAUCAGAUGUGCCCAGAUGGGAUUAGCUAGUAGGUGGGGUAAUGGCUCACCUAGGCGACGAUCCCUAGCUGGUCUGAGAGGAUGACCAGCCACACUGGAACUGAGACACGGGUCCAGACUCCUACGGGAGGCAGCAGUGGGGAAUAUUGCACAAUGGGGGAAACCCUGAUCCAGCCAUGCCGCGUGAGUGAUGAAGGCCCUAGGGUUGUAAA
rnacentral:rRNA from 1 species